rnacentral:rRNA from 1 species
ACCCGCACAAGCGGUGGAUGAUGUGGAUUAAUUCGAUGCAACGCGAAGAACCUUACCUACCCUUGACAUGUCCGGAACUUGCCAGAGAUGGCUUGGUGCCCGAAAGGGAAUCGGAACACAGGUGCUGCAUGGCUGUCGUCAGCUCGUGUCGUGAGAUGUUGGGUUAAGUCCCGCAACGAGCGCAACCCUUAUCAUUAGUUGCUACGCAAGGGCACUCUAAUGAGACUGCCGGUGACAAACCGGAGGAAGGUGGGGAUGACGUCAAGUCCUCAUGGCCCUUAUGGGUAGGGCUUCACACGUCAUACAGUGGUCGGUACAGAGGGUUGCCAAGCCGCGAGGCGGAGCCAAUCCCACAAAGCCGAUCGUAGUCCGGAUUGUUCUCUGCAACUCGAGAGCAUGAAGUCGGAAUCGCUAGUAAUCGCAGGUCAGCAUACUGCGGUGAAUACGUUCCCGGGUCUU